GCACAAGCGGUGGAGCAUGUGGUUUAAUUCGACGCAACGCGAAGAACCUUACCUGGGCUCGAAAUGUAGUGGAAUCCGGCAGAAACGUCGGCGUCUAGCAAUAGACCGCUAUAUAGGUGCUGCAUGGCUGUCGUCAGCUCGUGUCGUGAGAUGUUGGGUUAAGUCCCGCAACGAGCGCAACCCUUAUCUUCAGUUGCUACCAUUUAGUUGAGCACUCUGACGAAACCGCCUCGGAUAACGGGGAGGAAGGUGGGGAUGACGUCAAGUCCUCAUGGCCUUUAUGUCCAGGGCUACACACGUGCUACAAUGGCCGGUACAAACCGUCGCAAACCCGUGAGGGGGAGCUAAUCGGAAAAAGCCGGCCUCAGUUCGGAUCGUAGUCUGCAACUCGACUACGUGAAGCUGGAAUCGCUAGUAAUCGCGGAUCAGAAUGCCGCGGUGAAUACGUUCCCGGGC
rnacentral:rRNA from 1 species